UCCCCUGUGGCGAAAUUGGUAAAUGCGCCUGACAUGAGCAGGCAGAUGUAGUGGGUUCAAGACCCUUAACCGACUGGAUAGGCUACACAAUACAGGUUCGAUUCCUGUCAGGGGAG
rnacentral:tRNA from 1 species